AGCUUUGCGCAGUGGCAGUAUCGUAGCCAAUGAGGUUUAUCUGAGGCGCGAUUAUUGCUAAUAGAAAGAUAGAAUGGCUAUGUUGGUUGUUCAGUAAUGAGUUCUCUAUUAAAAUGGAAGCAGCCCUUGGAAAUGGUCCUGCACA
ensembl:snRNA U4 U4 spliceosomal RNA